rnacentral:rRNA from 1 species
ACACGUAGGGGGCGAGCGUUGUUCGGAAUCAUUGGGCGUAAAGGGCGCGCAGGCGGCGAGGCAAGUCCGGUGUGAAAGUGCUCGGCUCAACCGAGUGAUGCGCUGGAAACUGCCCUGCUUGAGUACAGGAGGGGACGUCGGAAUUCCAGGUGUAGGGGUGAAAUCUGUAGAUAUCUGGAAGAACACCGGUGGCGAAGGCGGACGUCUGGCCAUGUACUGACGCUGAGGCGCGAAGGUGCGGGGAGCGAACAGGUUUAGAUACCCUGGUAGUCCGCACAGUAAACGAUGUGCACCAGGUGGCGGGGGGUAGCCCUCGGUACCGAAGCCAACGCAUUAAGUGCACCGCCUGGGUAGUAUGCUCGCAAGGGUGAAACUCAAAGGAAUUGGCGGGG